CAAAUACUCCGUCCGAAAAUACUUGUCAUCAAAAUGGAUAAAAGGGGAUGUAUCUAGACAUAUUUUAGUUCUACAUACAUCUCUUUUUAUCCAUUUUGAUGACAAGUAUUUUCGGACGAAAGGUAUUUA
rnacentral:pre_miRNA from 1 species